rnacentral:SRP_RNA from 2 species
GCCGGGUGUGGUGGCUCACGCCUGUAAUCCCAGCACUUUGGGAGGCUGAGGUGGGUGGAUCACCUGAGGUCAGGAGUUCAAGACCAGCCUGGCCAACAUGGUGAAACCCCGUCUCUA